CAACAGCACUCAAAGCUUCACAUUUUUAAAAUUUCACUAUCGAUUGGUACCGAAGUCGGUACUUUUGACAACUCUAAUAGCUUCAUAGAGUUUAGGGAUCUAUCCAGUUGGAGGAAAACAAUCUUUUGGUAUUUUGAGCCGAUUUUUUGUUACGUGUCUCCUAGCAACGAGGCGCCGGAUUCUGCGUGAGUCUGUUGUGUAGACGAAUUCUGUCAUUUUUUACUUGAUUUAUGACAAUUAAGUAGUGCCACAGUAAAUGUGAUUGAAAAUGUAAUUUUGCAGUCCGAAAAAGGUGGUGUACGGUGAAAUAAUCGCAAGAAAACAUAUCUUAAUUUCUGUUUCUGCAUUGAAAGUCUGUUAGUGUUUCCUCAGUCCUUUGAUACACCUGUAUGAGCAGUCACUUUUUAAGGCAGCAUCUUAACCUUAAGAGGAACUUCAUAAGCGAUUUAAAACAUUCUUGCAGGCAGCAGUCCAUGAGAAACACAAAUAAUGUUCCUCACGUGAGCAUGGGAAAUUCGACUAAUUCCAGUAGGUAUUAUUGUUUUGAUGUUUGCGUGCUGCUUAGCAAAGCCCAUUAAUGUGCAUAAAAAUGCUAUUUAAAAAUGACCUAUUUAAUAUACCUGUUUAUUAGAAAUUUAAUUAUUUUUCAUGCAAUACCAACAAAUUUCUCAGCUAACCUAGAUGUUUUUUUCCCAAUUAGCUUGUUGCACUGCAUUAUGGGAUUUUUUUCCAUGAAGAAAAUGUGAGUUUCAAUCAACUGUGAGUGCCCUGUGAAGUGGACUUCAGCCAACUUAAAUGUACGUCAUUGCUUACAUUGCACGAGUGGCCACUAAUGGCGGAACACUUGCAAAAGGUUUAAAUGGAACGCACUAAACCACUGAUCACUUGGAAAUCUGUUAAGCGAGUUGCUGUUGUGACGUCAAAAUUAUGUUGCAUUGUGUAUAUGAGAAGUGUAUUAAAGAUUAUUAUUUGUUU